GUGCUCGCUUCAGCAGCGCAAACGCUAACAUUGAAAACAUACGAGGGAGACCAACAUGGCCCCCACACAAGGAUGAUACACAAAUGUGUGCAGCACUCCGUAUAUAU
ensembl:snRNA U6 U6 spliceosomal RNA